CAGCAGCAGCCGCGGGAAAACAGAGGAUGCAACCGUUAUCUAGAAUGAUUGGGCGUAAAGCGUCUGUAGGUGGCCUUUCAAGUCUGCCGUCAAAUCCCAGGGCUCAACCCUAGACAGGCGGUGGAAACUACCAAGCUGGAGUACGGUAGAGGCAGAGGGAAUGUCUGGCGGAGCGAUGAAAUGUGUUGAGAUUGGAAAGAACACCAACAGCGAAAGCACUCUGCUGGGCCCACACUGACACUGAGAGACGAAAGCUAGGGGAACAAAUGGGAUUAGAUACCCCCGUAGUCCCUGUCUCUUAUAC
rnacentral:rRNA from 1 species